rnacentral:rRNA from 1 species
GAUGAACGCUGGCGGCGUGCCUAACACAUGCAAGUCGAGCGAGAAGCCAUAAAAGGACACUUCGGUAGAAUUAUAUGGCGGAAAGCGGCGGACGGGUGAGUAACGCGUGGGAAACCUGCCUUUCACAGAGGGAUAGCCGAAGGAAACUACGAUUAAUACCUCAUAAAGCAAAAGCUUCGCAUGGAGCGAUUGCCAAAGAAUAAUCGGUGAAAGAUGGUCCCGCGUCUGAUUAGUUAGUUGGUAAGGUAGCGGCUUACCAAGGCGACGAUCAGUAGCCGGCCUGAGAGGGUGAACGGCCACAUUGGAACUGAGACACGGUCCAGACUCCUACGGGAGGCAGCAGUGGGGGAUAUUGCACAAUGGGCGAAAGCCUGAUGCAGCAACGCCGCGUGAAGGAAGAAGGCUUUCGAGUCGUAAACUUCUGUCCAAAGGGAAGAAAAGAUGACGGUACCUUGAAG